UCCGGUUUAACACCGGCAGUCUCACUAGAGUCCCCGGCAUGACCCGCUGGCAACUAGUGAAAGGGGUUUCGCUCGUUAAGCGACUUAACGCGACACUUCACAGCACGAGCUGACGACAGCCAUGCAGCACCUGUGCACGUUCCACCUCAAAGAGGUGUCGUUCACCUUUCGGAUCACUAAUCCGUGCAUGUCAAGCCCAGGAUAAGGUUCUUCGCGUUGCUUCGAAUUAAGCCACAUGCUCCACCGCUUGUGUGAGCCCCCGUCAAUUCCUUUGAGUUUUAGCCUUGCGACCGUACUCCCCAGGCGGUACACUUAACGUUUUUACUUCGACCCUGACGGUGUCAGAACCUCCAGGAUCUAGUGUACAUAGUUUAGGGCGUGGACUA
rnacentral:misc_RNA from 1 species